AGAUGAUGGAAGCCACUUUGGUCGUUGGGAUCUUCAAAGCAGUAGAAAUGUUUCUGUACCCUUCCCCAGAUGUGUGUCUCAAGACAACCCUGUCUCUGAGAUCUACAGACAAUUCCUUUGACUUCAUGCUUGGUAUGUACUAUGACUGUCAA